UACGUAGGGAGCAAGCGUUGUCCGGAAUCAUUGGGCGUAAAGCGCGCGUAGGCGGCCCCGUAAGUCCGCUGUGAAAGUCAAAGGCUCAACCUUUGAAAGCCGGUGGAAACUGUGGGGCUAGAGUCCGGAAGAGGCGAGUGGAAUUCCUGGUGUAGCGGUGGAAUGCGCAGAUAUCAGGAGGAACACCGGUGGCGAAGGCGGGUCUCUGGGCCGAUACUGACGCUGAGGAGCGAAAGCGUGGGGAGCGAACAGG
rnacentral:rRNA from 1 species